rnacentral:rRNA from 1 species
GAUGAACGCUGGCGGCGUGCCUAAUACAUGCAAGUCGAACGCACAGCGAAAGGUGCUUGCACCUUUCAAGUGAGUGGCGAACGGGUGAGUAACACGUGGACGACCUGUCUCAAGGCUGGGGAUAACAUAUGGAAACAGAUGCUAAUACCGAAUAAAACUCAGUGUCGCAUGACACAAAGUUAAAAGGCGCUUUGGCGUCACCUAGAGAUGGAUCCGCGGUGCAUUAGUUAGUUGGUGGGGUAAAGACCUACCAAGACAAUGAAGAAUAGCCGAGUUGAGAGGCUGAUAAGAGACAGUGGGACUGAGACACAGACCCAACCCUUACGGUAGGCUGUAGAGGGUAAUCCUCCACAAUGGGCGAAAGCCUGAUGGAGCAACGCCACGUGUGUGAUGAAGUCUUUCGGGUCGUAAAGAACCGUUGUAUGGGAAGAACAGCUAGAAUAGGGAAUGAUUUUAGUUGGACGGUACCAUACCAGAAAGGGACGGCAAAAUACGUGCCAGCAGCCGCCGUAA